rnacentral:rRNA from 1 species
GACGAACGCUGGCGGCGUGCUUAACACAUGCAAGUCGAGCGGUAAGGCCCUUCGGGGUACACGAGCGGCGAACGGGUGAGUAACACGUGGGCAACCUCGCCCCCGGCUCCGGGAUAACUCCAAGAAAUUGGGGCUAAUACCGGAUAUUCACUGCUGGCCGCAUGGUUGGUGGUGGAAAGAUUUAUCGGCUGGGGGAUGGGCCCGCGGCCUAUCAGCUUGUUGGUGGGGUAGUGGCCUACCAAGGCGACGACGGGUAGCCGGCCUGAGAGGGUGACCGGCCACCACUGGGACUGAGACACGGCCCAGACUCCUACGGGAGGCAGCAGUGGGGAAUAUUGCGCAAUGGGCGAAAGACCUGACGCAGCGACGCCGCCGUGGGGGAGUGACGGCCUC